GACGAACGCUGGCGGCGUGCCUAAUACAUGCAAGUCGAACGCAGUGGGAACGGGUGAGUAACACGUGGGUAUCCUCCCGUCAGAGGGGAUGACACUUGGAAACAGGUGCUAUACCGAUAACGAUGGAUGGACCCGCGGUGCAUUAGCCAGUUGGGGGGGUAACGGCUCACCAAGGCACAGUUGCAUAGCCGACCGUGAGGGGUGACCGGCAACACUGGGACUGAGACAGGGCCCAGACUCCUACGGAAGGCAGCCGUAGGGACUCUUCGCAAAUGGCCGAAAGUCUGACCAGGAAAGGCCGCGUGAGUGAAGCAGGUUUUCGGAUCGUAAAACCCUGUUGUUAGAAACGCGGUAUCUAACCAGAAAGCCACGGCUAACUACGUGCCAGCAGCCGCGGUAAUAC
rnacentral:rRNA from 1 species